rnacentral:tRNA from 1 species
UUAAGACUUGCGCCUCAUUC